rnacentral:rRNA from 1 species
CACUUGAAUGACCUUAAAUCAACCCUUUAAGUUCUGCUCGAGUGAUGAAUUUAUCAUGCUCUUGGCUGAGGAAUUGGCGGGGGAGCACAGAACUUGGCCGGGCUCCACGGUAAUACCGGCCGUUUGAGUGGUGACCACUAUUAUUGGGCCUAAAGCGUCCGUAACCGGUUUGGUAAGUCCUUAGAUAAAUCCACUCGUUCAACGAAUGGAAUUCUAAAGAUACUGCCAGACUCGGGGGCGAGAGAAGUCGGAGGUACUUCUAGGGUAGCGGUGAAAUGUUAUAAUCCUGGAGGGACCACCAGUGGCGAAGGCGUCCGACUAGAGCGUGCCCGACGGUGAGGGACGAAAGCCAGGGGAGCGAACGGGAUUAGAUACCCCGGUAGUCCUGGCCGUAAACGCUGCGGGCUAGGUGUUACGUCCUCUACGUGGGGACGUAUGCCGUAGAGAAGUUGAUAAGCCUGCCGCCUGGGAAGUAUUACCGCAAGGUAGAAACUUAAAGGAAUUGGCG